rfam:Coccidioides immitis RMSCC 2394 supercont1.2 genomic scaffold, whole genome shotgun sequence.
CCGCUCGUGGUCUAGUUGGUUAUGGCACCCGGCUGUAAAGUGCUCUUUGUUACCGGGUUGUCGCUGGUUCGACUCCAGCCGAGCGGA